rnacentral:rRNA from 2 species
AAAUUGAAGAGUUUGAUCAUGGCUCAGAUUGAACGCUGGCGGCAGGCCUAACACAUGCAAGUCGAACGGUAACAGGAAACAGCUUGCUGUUUCGAUGACGAGUGGCGGACGGGUGAGUAAUGUCUGGGAAACUGCCUGAUGGAGGGGGAUAACUACUGGAAACGGUAGCUAAUACCGCAUAACGUCGCAAGACCAAAGAGGGGGACCUUCGGGCCUCUUGCCAUCGGAUGUGCCCAGAUGGGAUUAGCUAGUAGGUGGGGUAACGGCUCACC